rnacentral:pre_miRNA from 1 species
ACUGUACUUCCUCCGUCCUAAAAUUCUUGUCUUUGAUUUGUCUAGAUACGAAUGUAUCUAGUUACAUUUUAAUAUUUUAAUAUAUUCAUUUUUAAACAAAACUAAGACAAAAAAAUUAAGACGGAGGGAGUAUUUA